UACGGAGGGGACUAGCGUUGUUCGGAAUUACUGGGCGUAAAGCGCACGUAGGCGGAUUUGUAAGUCAGGGGUGAAAUCCCGAGGCUCAACCUCGGAACUGCCUUUGAUACUGCAAAUCUCGAGUCCGGAAGAGGUGAGUGGAAUUCCGUAGUGUAGAGGUGAAAUUCGUAGAUAUUAGGAAGAACACCAGUGGCGAAGGCGGCUCACUGGUCCGGUACUGACGCUGAGGUGCGAAAGCGUGGGGGAGCAAACAGGGAGUUAGAAACCCU
rnacentral:rRNA from 1 species